rnacentral:tRNA from 2 species
GCCGGGGUGGCGGAACUGGUAGACGCACCAGACUCAAAAUUUGGUGGGAGCGAUCCCGUGUCGGUUCGAUUCCGACCCUCGGUACCA